GAUGAAGAACGUAGCGAAUUGUGAUAAGUAAUGUGAAUUGCAGAAUUCAGUGAAUCAUCGAAUCUUUGAACGCACAUUGCGCCCGUCAGUAUUCUGGCGGGCAUGCCUGUUCGAGCGUCAUUACGCCCCUCAAGUCCCCUGUGGACUUGGUGUUGGGGAUCGGCGAGGCUGGUUUUCCAGCACAGCCGUCCCUUAAAUUAAUUGGCGGUCUCGCCGUGGCCCUCCUCUGCGCAGUAGUAAAACACUCGCAACAGGAGCCCGGCGCGGUCCACUGCCGUAAAACCCCCCAACUUUUUAUAGUUGACCUCGAAUCAGGUAGGACUACCCGCUGAACUUAAGCAUAUCAAUAAGCGGAGGA
rnacentral:misc_RNA from 1 species